GAGUGGUCAUCAGACUUCAAUUUCACAGACUAGAAUUGAGAAAUGGAACAAAACCUUGGGAUACCAGCCUUCCAUUUUGUGCAUAUAAUAAACGAGUAAAAGGCCGGGCGCGGUGGCUCACGUCUAUAAUCCUGCACUUUGAGAGGCUGAGGCGGGCGGAUCGUGAGGUCAGGAGAUCAAGACGAUCCUGGCUAACACAGUGAAACCCUGUCUCUACUAAAAAUACAAAAAAUUAGCCGGGCAUGGUGGCGGGCGCCUGUAAUCCCAGCUGCUCAGGAGGCUGAGGCAGGAGAACGGCAUGAACCCGGGAGGCGGAGCUUGCAAUGAGCCAAGGUCAUGUCACUGCACUCCAGCCUGGGCGACAGAGUGAGACUCUGUCUCAAAUAAAUAAAUAAAUAAAUAAAUAAAAGGUCUACAAGGAUAUAAAACAAUAUUAAAAUC
ensembl:lncRNA PSMD6-AS1 PSMD6 antisense RNA 1